ACGGUCCCUCAUCACGUGGUUUGGUCUCUAUUUUUUGUGAUGAAAGACUUCACUUUUUACUUGGCAUUUGAAGCAACAAGCUUUGCCUUUGUCCGAAAACCAUCUAUUUUGAUCAUUGUUUAAUUGUUAUCGUUUACAGUAUUACAAUUUAGUACAAGACUUUGUUUAUUACAAUAUACUACAGUAUAUUCUGAAAGAAAUAACUAACAAGCUUCUCUAAAAUGGUUCGCAUCAUCGCAAGUUUGGUAAAAGUUCAGAGAAAAAGAGAUCGAAAAAGACGGGCACUCCAAAUUAAAGUAUUAAAGUUGAUAAGACUACACAGAAUGAUGGAUGAAAUCCAAGCAACACUGGAAUGGACAAGAGCCAAUCGUAAUCGUAAUUAAUUACAAGUAGAGGACAGAAAUCAACUAUUACUAAGUGUCAGGAUAGAAAAAGCAGAACUUCAAAUUAAUUAUUGUAAGCAAUUCGACCCUGUUUCAUUUUUAUCGAUAAACCAUUUCUUGGUAUUGAAACAAGGCUUGGACUCUCAAUAUUACCUAGCAUAUAAGGUCACAACAAGCUUUUAAGUUUAUCGAUGUAAAAUGGAUCUAAUUUAAUCUGAAUUAGAAUUUUAUUCGCCUCUACUAUAAUUCAUGUAAUCAAUUACUUUAACUUUAGUUGACAGGCUAUUUACAAAAGGAUUUGUUUGAAGAUUACUGUAAGCAAAAAAUGUCUUCAAAUGUUCAUAUGAAUAAAACUGAUAAUUUAAUUGUAA